UACGUAGGGGGCAAGCGUUGUCCGGAAUCAUUGGGCGUAAAGAGCGUGUAGGCGGCCAGAUAAGUCCGCUGUGAAAUCUCGAGGCUCAACUUCGAGCUGUCGGUGGAAACUGUCUGGCUAGAGUCCGGAAGAGGAGAAUGGAAUUCCUGGUGUAGCGGUGAAAUGCGCAGAUAUCAGGAAGAACACCCGUGGCGAAGGCGGUUCUCUGGGACGGUACUGACGCUGAGGAGCGAAAGCGUGGGUAGCAAACAGG
rnacentral:rRNA from 1 species